CAUCGCCUCUUGAUUAAACAUAAGAGGUCCAGCCUGCCCAGUGACAUAGUUUAACGGCCGCGGUACCCUAACCGUGCGAAGGUAGCAUAAUCACUUGUUCUUUAAAUAGGGACUCGUAUCAACGGCAUCACGAGGGCUAUACUGUCUCCUUUCUCCAAUCAAUGAAACUGAUCUCCCCGUGAAGAAGCGGGGAUUAACCUAUAAGACGAGAAGACCCCAUGGAGCUUCAAACUCAACAUAUACCUCUACGCACUUAAACCACUUUAGCCCAAGAGACCUCUAUGUUAGUUUUGGGUUGGGGGGACCGCGGAGUAAAAAUUAACCUCCACGACAAACGGGCUUUAUGCCCUUAUCCACGAACCACAGCUCUAAGAAUCAAUAAACUGAUGUUUAUGACCCGAUUAUUCGAUCAACGAACCAAGUUACCCUGGGGAUAACAGCGCAAUCUACUUCAAGAGCCCCUAUCGACAAGUAGGUUUACGACCUCGAUGUUGGAUCAGGGUAUCCUAGUGGUGCAGCCGCUACUAAUGGUUCGUUUGUUCAACGAUUAAAACCCUACGUGAUCU
rnacentral:rRNA from 1 species